CCUACGGGAGGCAGCAGUGGGGAAUAUUGGACAAUGGGCGCAAGCCUGAUCCAGCAAUGCCGCGUGAGUGAUGAAGGCCUUAGGGUCGUAAAGCUCUUUUACCAGGGAUGAUAAUGACAGUACCUGGAGAAUAAGCUCCGGCUAACUCCGUGCCAGCAGCCGCGGUAAUACGGAGGGAGCUAGCGUUGUUCGGAAUUACUGGGCGUAAAGCGUACGUAGGCGGUUAUUCAAGUCAGAGGUGAAAGCCCGGGGACUCGAACCCCGGAACGGCCCUUUGAAACUAGGUAGCUAGAAUCUUGGAGAGGUCAGUGGAAUUCCGAGUGUAGAGGUGAAAUUCGUAGAUAUUCGGAAGAACACCAGUGGCGAAGGCGACUGACUGGACAAGUAUUGACGCUGAGGUACGAAAGCGUGGGGAGCAAACAGGAUUAGAUACCCUGGUAGUCCACGCCGUAAACGAUGAUAAACUAGCUGUCCGGGCACUUGGUGCCUGGGUUGGCGCGAGCUACGACAUUAAGUUACGUACCGUCCGUCGGGUAGGUACGGUCGCGAAGAAUUAAACUAACAAGAAGUAGUAGACGAGAGACGAGCGACGACGACGACGACGGAGGAGGAG
rnacentral:rRNA from 1 species